CCAACACCAAAAAUUUAUUCCCCACAUCCUCUUGAGUAAGGUGGCGAAGCACCUCCAAAGGGAAGGAAACCGCCAAUCAGUGUGCGCGUCUCCAUGCGAGGCAACAUGUUUUGUUUUAGUGGUUUGGGUCGUCAUAGCGAGGCGAAGUGUUAGCAGUUUGCAUUCCAAGUCAGGUUGUUUAUUUAUUGUUAAUCAGGUUGCAUUGUAUGAGUGCAGUGGAUCCACUAGUGUUCUUA